UACGUAGGUGGCAAGCGUUGUCCGGAUUUAUUGGGUUUAAAGGGUGCGUAGGUGGCUUUUUAAGUCAGUGGUGAAAUACAGCCGCUCAACGGUUGAGGUGCCAUUGAUACUGAAGAGCUUGAAACAAGUGGAGGCUGCCGGAAUGGAUGGUGUAGCGGUGAAAUGCAUAGAUAUCAUCCAGAACACCGAUUGCGAAGGCAGGUGGCUACGUUUGAUUUGACACUGAGGCACGAAAGCGUGGGGAGCAAACAGG
rnacentral:rRNA from 1 species